AGAUGAUGCGUCUCUGUUGGUUCACACUGUUACUCUGUGUUUCUGCCAAUGCAGGUAACGAUGCAAUGUGGCGAGAGUCUGGCGAGAACGUCACCUUGAGGUGUUCCUCCGCAGGAUGUCCCAGCGGCAAGAAAAAGUAUGAUGGGAUGUAUCUGUAUCUGAAUCAGUAUCAUGCGAAGCAGAAACAAGUGCUGUAUUAUCACCCGUGUCAACAUUCGACUGACAAAAUCACCCCUGGAGUUACAUUCUUAAACAGGAUUCAGACAAACGGAUCUCUGGAGAGCAACACUAUCACUAUCAGCCAGCUGACCGUGAAUGACUCUGGUUUCUACAGCUGUGUCUUCCAAAUAUUUCCAGAUGAAGUCCAAUGCAGCGUCCACACACUUUUUAUAAGAGGAGUGGCACCAUGUUCCAUAUCAGCACAAGUGCCUUGUGCCCUUACCAGCGAGAAAAGUCCUCCUCUUGUGGUAAUCAUCAUCGCCGCCUGCAUCAUCAGCACGCUGGUAACCAUGAUCUUCGUCCUGCUGAUCCUCCCGAGGGUGA
rnacentral:lncRNA from 1 species